CGAAAUGCAUUUAGGUGCAGCGUCACGUGUUUCUUGCCGGAGGUAGAGCACUGGAUGGUCUAGGGGGCUUAUCGGCUUACCGAAAUCAGCCAAACUCCGAAUGCUGGCAAGUGUAGCGUGGCAGUGAGACGGCGGGGGAUAAGCUUCGUCGUCGAGAGGGAAACAGCCCAGAUCAUCAGCUAAGGCCCCUAAGUGGUGACUCAGUGGGAAAGGAUGUGGAGUUGCGUAGACAACCAGGAGGUUGGCUUGGAAGCAGCCAUCCUUGAAAGAGUGCGUAAUAGCUCACUGGUCGAGUGGUUCUGCGCCGACAAUGUAGUGGGGCUCAAGUACACCGCCGAAGCCGCGGCAAACUUUUUUGUUUGGGUAGGGGAGCGUCGUGUGUGGGGUGAAGCCGUAUCGGAAGGAGCGGUGGACUGCAUGCGAGUGAGAAUGCAGGCAUGAGUAACGAAUGGCAAGUGAGAAUCUUGCCCGCCGGAUGACUAAGGGUUCCUGGGUCAAGUUCGUCUUCCCAGGGUGAGUCGGGACCUAAGGCGAGGCCGACAGGCGUAGUCGAUGGACAACGGGUUGAUAUUCCCGUACCAGUG
rnacentral:rRNA from 1 species